AUGUCCACAGCAAGUUCCUGCACUUCUUCUGACAAUGAAGAGGCUCUCAUUAUUCUUUCUACCUGGACAUGUCAGACUCCACACCAGCGAAGCCUCCUGUUGGUGAACUCAUCCUUUUGUGUUGUGAGGUGGCUUCAGGGACAUCCCACUGCAUUUACAGUGACAACCCAGGGUGAAGAGGAUCCCAUUUUUGGGAAGGGGAUAUUGAAGCUCACAGGCAGCUACUGGAAACAAGACACAUCCUUCUCCUGGGGAUUUACCUGGAGUGAGAUCAAAAGGAAGCUGCUUUCUCCCCUUCCUGCAUAAAGAGCUGGGCUACAAAUCCAUCACUUGCCUGGAAUACCUCUUGGUCAGGAACGUGCUCCCAAAAGGAAGACCUGGAGACAGAGUAAAAAUGCAAACCUGCUGGAGGUAAAAUGAGCAGGACUGUGCAUUUUGGGCUGUUUUUCUUUUUGCUAUAAGCA
rnacentral:lncRNA from 1 species